AUUACUUUGGUGGUGAAUGAAUAUAUACGAAAACUGGAAUGAUACAGAGAUCAUUGUAUGGCCCCUGUGUUAGGAUGACAAGUAAAUUUGUGAAAACAUUCUCUAUAAA
ensembl:snRNA U6 U6 spliceosomal RNA